UCUACGGGCGGCUGCAGUGGGGAAUAUUGGACAAUGGGGGGAACCCUGAUCCAGCCAUGCCGCGUGUGUGAAGAAGGCCCUCGGGUUGUAAAGCACUUUCAGUGAGGAAGAACGCCUGGUGGUUAAUACCCAUCAGGAAAGACAUCACUCACAGAAGAAGCACCGGCUAACUCCGUGCCAGCAGCCGCGGUAAUACGGAGGGUGCGAGCGUUAAUCGGAAUUACUGGGCGUAAAGCGCGCGUAGGUGGCUUGAUAAGCCGGUUGUGAAAGCCCCGGGCUCAACCUGGGAACGGCAUCCGGAACUGUCAAGCUAGAGUGCAGGAGAGGAAGGUAGAAUUCCCGGUGUAGCGGUGAAAUGCGUAGAGAUCGGGAGGAAUACCAGUGGCGAAGGCGGCCUUCUGGACUGACACUGACACUGAGGUGCGAAAGCGUGGGUAGCAAACAGGAUUAGAUACCCGUGUAGUC
rnacentral:rRNA from 1 species